CCAACACAUAUAUAUAAUUCACCACACAUAUAUGAUAUACAUAUAAGUCAAUGUACAUCCCCAUAUAUCGAAAGAACCAACAUACAAAGUAUUGCACUGUUUAUCCAUAUAUACAUAUACAUAUGGUUCGACAUUGUUCAUCAAAUCAAAUGAAAACUAGAUGAUAUACAUAUAAAGUUCAUCCAUCGACAUUGUUCAGCUGCAUGAAUGCCAGCUUCCAUGCAUGUAGUAUAUCCAAUCUGCAAAAAUGUGAAUAAGAAAGUCAGAAGAAGAACAAAAUAUGAUGUUUUUGAGCUAAUUAUGUCAUUUUAGCGGAAAACAAGCUAAGAAUAUAAUAUUCAUGAGCUAACCAAGGUUCUUAUGCCAUUUUUAGCUUAUUAUGGCAUUUUGGAGCUAAAUGGGUUAAUUAUGUCAUUGUUGGGGAAAUUAAAGCAAGAUAAUAUGAAAGAGGAGAAGAAAGAGGAGGAUGAGGAGAAGAAGAAGAAAUCAAGAAGGAGGAGAAUGAGGAGGAGGAGAAGGACUAGAAGGUCCUUGGCAUUCUCCUCCUUCUCCUCCUCCUCCUCCUUCUCCUUCGUCUCUUCUUCUUCUUCUUCUUCUUCUUUCUUUUCAUUUUUCCUAUUUCUUCUCCUCUUCUCCUCUUGUUGGAGCUAAAUUACCUAAUUAUGUCUUUUUGGAGCUAAAUGGGCUAAUUAUCCCAUUUUAGAGGAAAACAAGCUAAGUAUAUAAUAUUCAUGAGCUAACCAAGGUUCUUAUGCCAUUUUGAGGUUAUUCUGGCAUUUUGGAGCUAAAUGGGCUAAUUAUGUCAUUGUUGGGGAAAUUAAAGCAAGGAUAAUAUGAAAGAGGAGGAGGAGGAGAAGAAGAAGAAAUCAAGAAGAAGGAGGAGAAGGACUAGAAGGUCCUUGGCCUUCUCCUCCUCCUCCUGCUCCUCCUUCUCCUUCUUCUCUUCUUCUUGUUCUUCUUCUUUCUUUUCAUUUUUCCAAUUUCUUCUCCUCUUCUCCUCUUCUUGGAGCUAAAUUAGCUAACUAUGUCUUUUUGGAGCUAAAUGGGCUAAUUAUCUCAUUUUAGAGCAAGACAAGCUAAGUAUAUAAUAUUAAUGAGGUAACCAAGGUUCCUAUGCCAUUUUGAGCUUAUUAUGGCAUUUUGGAGCUAAAUGGGCUAAUUAUGUCUUUUUGGAGCCAAAUGGGCUAACUAUGUCAUUGUUGGGGAAAUUAAGGCAAGGAGAAUAUGAAAGAGGAGAAGAGAAACUUACCGUAGUGGUCAUCAAGGAGGAGAAACACCUAGAGAAGGGUCGUGCGAUGCCUCUCGGGAGUUAUUCCGCAGAAUAGAUAUUUUGCAAUAUCUGAGUUAGCAUGAUGGCACUCAAUUAUUAAUACUAGUUUAUAAUGAAACUCACCGUGCCAAUCAAAGAGAAGACGGGCAUCGGCGGAGGGACUUGAUCGCUCUUAUCGCACAGACCCUGAAGAGUGGGUCGUAUUAGUUAGUAAUGAAACGAAUAUUACACACAUGAUUUCGCUAAUGUGAAAAAAACUUACCACAAAAAGCUCGUACAGGGCCCGUUGACCCGUCUCAUUCCGGGACCUCUCCUCCUCAAUUAAUCAUGCCGUGGUCUGGUCCCUCUCAUUAAGAGCAGUCUGACUUGUCAAUCUCUCUUUCUCAAGAGCAGCCUGGUUUGCCAAUCUCUCUUUCUAAAGAGCAGCC
rnacentral:lncRNA from 1 species